rnacentral:rRNA from 1 species
AGAGUUUGAUCAUGGCUCAGAAUCAACGCUGGCGGCGUGCCUAACACAUGCAAGUCGAACGCGAAAGUGGAGCAAUCCAUGAGUAGAGUGGCAAACGGGUGAGUAACGCGUGGGUGACCUGCCUUCGAGUGGGGGAUAACGCUCCGAAAGGGACGCUAGUACCGCAUAACAUCCUGCCUUUUAAGAGGUGGAGAUCAAAGCCUGGGACCGCAAGGCCAGGCGCUGGAAGAGGGGCCCGCGUCUGAUUAGCUAGUUGGUGGGGUAAUGGCUCACCAAGGCUUCGAUCAGUAUCCGGCCUGAGAGGGCGGACGGACACACUGGGACUGAGACACGGCCCAGACUCCUACGGGAGGCAGCAGUGGGGAAUUGUUCGCAAUGGGCGCAAGCCUGACGACGCAACGCCGCGUGGAGGAUGAAGACCUUCGGGUCGUAAACUCCUUUCGAUCGAGACGAACGGCCUCUGGGUGAAUAAUCCAGGGGAGUGACGGUACCGAGAGAAGAAGCCCCGGCUAACUCCGUGCCAGCAGCCGCGGUAAUACGGGGGGGGCAAGCGUUGUUCGGAAUUACUGGGCGUAAAGGGCUCGUAGGUGGCCAACUAAGUCAGACGUGAAAUCCCUCGGCUUAACCGGGGAACUGCGUCUGAUACUGGAUGGCUUGAGUUUGGGAGAGGGACGCGGAAUUCCAGGUGUAGCGGUGAAAUGCGUAGAUAUCUGGAGGAACACCGGUGGCGAAGGCGGCGUCCUGGACCAACACUGACACUGAUGAGCGAAAGCCAGGGGAGCAAACGGGAUUAGAUACCCUAGUAGUCC